GAUGAACGCUGGCGGCGUGCCUAAUACAUGCAAGUCGAACGCGCAGCGAAAGGUGCUUGCACCUUUCAAGCGAGUGGCGAACGGGUGAGUAACACGUGGAUAACCUGCCUCAAGGCUGGGGAUAACAUUUGGAAACAGAUGCUAAUACCGAAUAAAAAUUAGUAUCGCAUGAUACAAAGUUAAAAGGCGCUACGGCGUCACCUAGAGAUGGAUCCGCGGUGCAUUAGUUAGUUGGUGGGGUAAAGGCUUACCAAGACGAUGAUGCAUAGCCGUGUUGAUAGGCGGAUCGCCCACAUUGGGACUCAUACACGGCCCAAACUCCUACGUGAGGUUGCAGUAGGGAAUCUGCCACAAUGGGCGCAAGCCUGAUUGAGCAACGCCGCGUGUGUGGUGAAGGCUUUCUGGUCGUAAAGCACUUUUGUAUGGGAAGAAAUGCUAAAAUAGGGAAUGAUUUUAGUUUGACGGUACCAUACCAGAAAGGGACGGCUAAAUACGUGCCAGCCGCCGCAGUAA
rnacentral:rRNA from 1 species